rnacentral:rRNA from 1 species
UACGUAGGGUCCGGGCGUUGUCCGGAGUUACUGGGCGUAAAGCGCGCGCAGGCGGCGGUGCUGGCCCGGCGUGAAAGCCCCCGGCUCAACCGGGGAGGGUCGUCGGGGACCGCACCGCUUGAGGGCGGUAGGGGCUGGUGGAAUGCCUGGUGUAGUGGUGAAAUGCGUAGAGAUCAGGCGGAACACCCGUGGCGAAGGCGGCCAGCUGGGCCGUCCCUGACGCUGAGGCGCGAAGGCGUGGGGAGCGAACGGG